rnacentral:rRNA from 1 species
GACAGAGGGGGCAAGCGUUGCUCGGAAUUACUGGGCGUAAAGGGCUCGUAGGCGGCCAACUAAGUCAGACGUGAAAUCCCUCGGCUUAACCGGGGAACUGCGUCUGAUACUGGAUGGCUUGAGUUUGGGAGAGGGAUGCGGAAUUCCAGGUGUAGCGGUGAAAUGCGUAGAUAUCUGGAGGAACACCGGUGGCGAAGGCGGCAUCCUGGACCAACACUGACGCUGAGGAGCGAAAGCCAGGGGAGCAAACGGG